AGAGGACUGAGAGAUAAGGCUGGAAAAUUCAGUCGGGACCAGAUUAUAGAAGGUCUUAAAUGUCAGUAUAAGCAACUGGGACUUGACUACAUAAGAACUGGGAUUUGCUAAAGACCUCUGCCCUUGGAACUGACCUGAGUUGAAGAGGGACAACGGGGGUGCAGAGCCCCGGUGCUACUCGACGGAUGUGAAACACCAGCAGGGUGUAAAGUCCCCGCCACCUUUGCCCGAACCACUCCACGGUCCUCUGGCCACUUGCGGGAGGACGGUCCUUCAGAUGGGGGCGGCUGUAGGAGCACCCUGGACCAGUUCCGAAGUCCCUUCAGAGCCCUCCAGGUGAAAUGGUCGUGUUGUUGUGCAGAACAAGCCCUUUUCAACUACAGGUGGGCUCCAUGCUGGGUAUGAACUCAUGGGGCUUGAACUCACAACCCUGAGAUCAAGACUUGAGCUGAGAUCAAGAGUUGGACACUCAACAGCCGCCCGGACGCUCAUGUAAAAUGUUCUCCAGAGUCUCCGAGCUGCUCUAGCAAAUUAAGUAAGCCCGAGGAGGAGGUUAUGGGCCCCUCCGAUCUACGGCAGAUGGAAGCCGGGGUGACAGCCUGGGCUCAUGACCGGUGUCUGAAGUAAGAGUGGGAGCAAUCCUGCAGGGCUGAACCCUUGGCCUGUGGGAUCUGAAGUGAUGUCCGGGUACCAUCUUCACUAUAUGAAUUUGGGGAGGACGCCAACACUCGGGCCGCAGCGCGAGGCAAGACGGAUCUGUCUCCCUUGGGGAGUCGAUGAAUUAUUUUCACUGGCAUGAGGGUCCUGGCGUCAGAGGCCACCACUCAUCUUCCAGCCCUCUGAUCCACCUGAUCCGAGCCUGCUCAAUCCCUUUACCAACAAAUGCGGGACGUGGGUGAUGCUAUUGUCGCCAGUCGUGAGGGGCCUGGGCUGUGAGAGACUCCACGGGCCUCUGAGGCCUCGGCGGAAGCCUAGCUCAGCUGGCGGCUCUAAGGACUGGCCCCAGAUUUGCCCUCGGUCCGCGGUUCUCAACCCUGAACCCCGGCUGCUCACGGAGUAACAGAAUUACCUGGGGGGGGGGUUGGGGGAGGCUGGUGCCGGUUGGGAAAAUACCAAAGCCCUAGUCCACCCGCAGAAUCGGAUGUGGCGGCUCUGGAGCAGGGGCUGAAGCUUCGGUUUGCUCUAAUGUGCAGCCUUCAGGGUGUAGGCGGCCGCCCCACAGGGGCCUGCGCCAGUUGCCCACCAUCCACCAGGAGCUUUGUCUUUUGACAUCAGCUUUGAUGCGGGGUUAUAUUUGCCAAGAGGCCAAACAAUAGUAAGCUUUAAAAAGUUGUUUGAGGGCAGCCCGGGUGGCUCAGUGGUUUGGAGCCUGCCUUUGGUCCAGGGCGUGACCCCGGGGUCCCAGGAUCGAGUCCCCCAUUGGGCUCCCUGCAUGGAGCCUGCUUCUCACUCUGCCUGGGUCUGUCUCUCUCUCUCCAUCUCUCACGAAUGAAUAAAUAAAAUCAUUAAAAAAUAUUUUAAAGAAAGUUCUUUGAAUCACCUAGGAGAAAACAAACAUCAUUCUAUCUAAAAACAAAACAUUGCCGACCGAAGUACCAAUGUGCACAGGAGCAUUUUCCACAACCGCCCACAGGUGGAACCGCCGGAAUGUCCAUCAGCAGGAGAUGCCUACGGCCCGCAAACCCACGGAGGCGGAAAAUAGAAGUUUCCAGGAACUGAUGGUCAAAAGGAAUGGUUGAUCGGUGCUUAGCAGGGCUGAUGCUUCUGAGUGAAGAUCCAGGCUACUCUGCUGUCGUCAGGCUUCUACCACUCGCAGUAAAAAGCUGAGUCGGCAAUAGUGGAAGGAAAUCCCAUUUAACAAAGGUUUUUAGAAGGCUUCAGCAGUCUGAAGUCCAUAUAAGAUGAUUGUCAUUGCAGGACGUUUUUUCAGGUUUCUUUCUUUCUUCUUCUUUUUUUAAUAGCAGUAAGUAUGUUCAAGUCUAGUAAAGGAAAAAUAUAAUGCUUUCUCUGGAAUUUAUCUUUCUGAAAACAUUGAAGUCAGACUUAAUGUCUGAAAAUACAAAUAAUGAUCUCAUCAACCUAAUCUGGAACUAUGGAUUGACUAUGGUUUUUUAGCUACAAGGGUAGGAAGUGUGUAGU